UACGAAGGGGGCUAGCGUUGCUCGGAAUCACUGGGCGUAAAGCGCACGUAGGCGGAUUGCUAAGUCAGGGGUGAAAUCCUGGAGCUCAACUCCAGAACUGCCUUUGAUACUGGCGACCUUGAGUCCGGGAGAGGUGAGUGGAACUGCGAGUGUAGAGGUGAAAUUCGUAGAUAUUCGCAAGAACACCAGUGGCGAAGGCGGCUCACUGGCCCGGUACUGACGCUGAGGGGCGAAAGCGUGGGGAGCAAACAGG
rnacentral:rRNA from 1 species